CUUGACUGUAGUCAUGGUUUCAUGGAUGUAUACACAUUUCAAAAUGAAUCUAUUUGUAACUAUAUGUGGCGAUGGAUAUUUAUUAGACUUAGUGUGAUCAGUUCUCAAUAUAUACAAAUAUUGAAUCAUUAUGUUGUACACCUGAAACUAAUAUAAUGUUAUAGGUCUAUUAUAUCAAAAUUUUAAAUAAAUGAAUCCAAGUGUAUACUUUAAAUAUGUGCUGUGUUCUAUAUCAAUACAGAUGUUACUAAAAACAUGGUAUUAUAGUUUUAUAUAAAGAUAGAUGCAAUAUAUAUGGCAGCUGCAAUACAGAAGAUGGGGCUAUAAAUUGCAAGGUUUUUACACUUGACGAGUAAGAGCAGAGUUCAAUAUUAACUCUAAGUAGAUUCUGAAUAGUUAAGAAUAUAUAUUAUAAUACAGACCGUGACCACUAAAAAUGAUCACAAAGUAUAGCAAAGAAGCAAAUUAACAUGGAAUUUUAAAUAAAUACUUAAUUAACCCAAGAAGACAAAACAGAGAAAUAUGGGAACAAAAGCCAGAUGGAAAAGACAGAAAAUAAUAAAAUGGAUGAUCUUAAUCUAACUGUAUCAAUAAUUACAUUAAAUGUAAAUGGGCUAAACACUCCAAAUGAAAUAAAGACAUUGUCACAAGGGAUAGAAAAAUAAGAGGGUUUGAUAAACUAAGGGAUGUCUUCAAUCCUGAAGUUCUUUAUGUUAAAUCCUAUGCCACAUAGUUUUCUUAUUUUAACAAAUAUUUUGAAUGGCUGCAUAGCACUCAAACUUACAGUUAUAAUAGAUUUAAUCAUCUCCAGAUGACUAGGUUUCUGUACACUAGGUUGGACAACAUAUCUAAGGUCUUUUCUGUUCUUCAUCUCUGAUAACUUAAACAGCUUAUGUUUUUAUUCUCUUUUAUGGCCAUUAACAAUCCCUCACUGAACACUUUUGUGGUUCCUGAUUUAGAGAAUACUCGAUGUAUGAUGAUGCAGAGUUAUACUAAGGUCAUUCAAUUUCAGCACCUCCUAGUCAGCAAUAAAAUAUUCAUUGUACUCAUCAUUCAGAAAUUCCUUACCAAGAACCAUGAUCCAUAUAUUACAAUCACUAAUUCAUAUUGCUAUUCAAUUCCAAAAACCUCACAGAGCAUUGGAUCUCAGCCUCCAGAGACCGUUCAUUGCUGGGCUUUAUCACAUUUAUCCAGAAAACUCAUGUCUGUGAGAAUGUCAGUCUUUCCCUGCUUGGCCAAAUGGGAUCUCCAUCUCUCAUGCAACUACAGUCCUGACACGGGAAGCUCAAAUCAUUUCUUUACAGGACUUAAUUUCUUCCUUCCUCCAUUAUAGCUCUUAAUAUUACUAAGUUGAGCACAUAGGAGAGAAUAAUCUGGUCAGUGAAUACGUAAACACUGGCUAGAAGAGACUGGGCUAGAAGAGAUAUGAGUAUCUUCAAUACGCAGUUUUUGACAGCCAAAACUAGAAACACAAAAAUCUAAGAGGGAACAGGUUAAUUAAUUUGGUCCUGCUAUGUGAUGGCAUGUACAGGAUUAUUAAUCAGGAUGAUACUGGUCCCAGUGUAAAGUACGCACUCAUAACUGGGGAAAGGUAUCCAGUUGAAACUUAAGACAUAGAUUCUGUUCUCAGAUUUUCUAAAUGUAACUGCUCUUAGAGUUCAUGACAUAUUAGUGUCUUGGGGUUUUCAUCAGUAGAGGCAAGAGUAUGAAGAUCACUUCUUAAGCAUGAAUAUCUUAGAGAAAUAUAAUCUACAUAAAAACUUAAUAAUAUGUUGUAAUCCUGUAUAAAUAUGUUAGCUAUUUUUAUUGAAGAACAUUGCAUGUCCCCUAACUGGGUAUUAUAAAAGAAACAAUUUGCCUUUUUAGGAUAAAAUUGUGCUUAUCAGCCCUGCUCUGAUAAUGCUCACAAAAAAAAAGGGGGGGGGGAAAUCAGGACUUUUACUUGAGAAUGCAUUUUUAAUUUAUAAAUCAAGAGCUUCUAGGAAAGAGGAAAUUUCCCUCCCACCGAAAUGGAGCAGAAACAAAGAGACAUUUGUGAAUUAUAACCUGCCCAAAAAAUCCGAUGUGAUCAAGCGUCUCAUACAGUGAGAACAUUAGUAAGACUGACAGUGCCCUUAAGCAGCAACAAAAGGCAUGUGGGUAAAUAAAAUGAUUCCUUAUUUUCUUCUAUUUCAAUUAGUAUUUGGACAUGUUUUUGGGAAUACAACUAAAAAUCAGAUGUUAAUGCAAAGUUUUGUUAAACUUUUCUUCUAUCAAUAAUUUAAAAUCAAUGAUUUUAUGAAAGAAAAUCAACCAUCCUCAAUGUUGACUUUUGUGUGUAAACCAAUUCUUUCCCCUCAUCAAGGUUCUUCUUUUGGGGAUGGCAGGACUGAGGAGGAAGUCAGGAGGCACCAGGCUGUUCUUGGGGCACAGAAUGACUCCCUUACACGACACUCUCCAGGUCCACACCCGCCCUGCUCAUACACAUAAACAGAUGGCAGGAGGACAGAGCCUGGACUACGGGAAUAGGUUUACAGCACGUUCCUGGGGUCCGAGCUCUGGGAACCCCGAGGCUCUGAGACAGUAGCCGCCCCUCAGAGCUCCCAAGUAGAGAACUUUCCAGGCUUUCCCAAAUUAACCUCGGUGUCCCCUGGCUGGAAAUCUCCCUUUAGGGCUCAAGAUCCUACUUCCCUCUUGCAGCCAAGCAGCUGUGAGGAGAGAAGAGGAGGAACACCAGGGAGCCCAGAGCCACCAGACAGUGACGCCACAGAGCCACAGCCAUCACACCCGCACAGACACACACCGUCCUCUGCCGUUCAGGCCCGAGAGUCCCGUGAGGACUGGCGUCCCUACUACCGGCCUCCACGCAGUGAGCGCUUCCACUGCCACCCCUCCUGGUUCACGUCGGGCUCCGAAUUGACUCGCUUCACAGGAUUCCCGCAUCCUGUGCUAACACAUCCACAAAUGAGCUCAACUCACCUUGCAAAGAGGGAGAACCGCGCGAAUACGGAAUGGAAGCCGAAGAUCUGGAGUGACCGCUGCCCUCUGGGAAGUGUCGCUCCAACCUGAACAUCUCUGGGCGCGGCGGCUCGU